GCCUACGGGGCGCAGCAGUAGGGAAUCUUCCACAAUGGACGAAAGUCUGAUGGAGCAACGCCGCGUGAGUGAAGAAGGGUUUCGGCUCGUAAAGCUCUUUUGGGAGUGAAGAAAGAUAGAGGUAGUAACUGGCCUUUAUUUGGCGGUAAUUACUUAGAAAGUCACGGCUAACUACGUGCCCGCAGCCGCGGUCAUACUUAGGUGGCAAGCGUUGUCCGGAUUUAUUUGGCGUAAA
rnacentral:rRNA from 1 species